rnacentral:ncRNA from 1 species
UUAAGGUAAAGUUUUAUUUUGGCUUGAAUAUUAUUUGUUUAUAUUUAUAUUAUAAAAAAAUUUAUUUUUAUAUAGUUUUUAUAUUUUAGUUAAUAAUUUUAAUUUAAUAUUUUUUAAAGGAUAAUUUAGGAAUAUAAUAAAAUUUUAAUAAAAUUUGUGCCAGCAAUUGCGGUUAAACAAAUAAAGUUAAAUAAUAAACUCUAAAUGUAAUAAAUUGUUUAUUUUAUUAAUUUAGAUUUAAUUUUAUUAAGUGAAAUUUUAAUAUUAAUGAUAUUUAAUUGUUUUAUAAUGAUUUUAUGAAAUUUUAUAAAGAAACUAGGAUUAGAUACCCUAUUAUUUAAUUUUGUAAAUUUAAAAUUUAAAAUAUUAAAAGCUUAAGAUCUUAAAAAUUAAAAAAUUUGGCGGUGUUUUAUUCAAUUCAGAGGAAUCUGUAGUAUAAUUGAUAAUCCACGAUUUAUCUUACUUUUAAAAACGUUUGUAUAUCGUCGUUUUAAAUGAAUAUUUUAAUAGAAAAUGAAUAUUCUAUAAGUUUAUAAUAAGAUUUUAUUUCAGAUCAAGGUGCAGUUUUUAAAAGAAACUAUGGAUUACAAUAUUAAUUAUUAAAUUUAGAUUAAAAAUUUAAAUAAAUUUUAUGAAAGAGGAUUUGGUUGUAAGAUUAAAAAAUUUAAAAUCUGAUAAUUUGCUCUAAAAUGUGCACAUAUUGCCCGUCAUUUUCAUUUAAAUUGGAACAAGUCGUAACAUAGUAGAUGUACUGGAAAGUGUAUCUAGUUU